rnacentral:tRNA from 1 species
CUAAGGAAACGCGGCGGAAAGCGUCGAGCUUCGGUUCGAAAGAGCUUCCUCCCAUUCCAAAGACAUUCCAAUCCGCCGUCCUCAUGUCCCUUCAUCCUAGGUUACUCCCCUGACGGGGAGUAUAGCUUGAGCUGGCUUACCGCCUCGCGGCCUUAUGGCCGGUGAGUGCAGGGGGCCGGUAGCUCAGGUGGUUAGAGCGCACGCCUGAUAAGCGUGAGGUCGUAGGUUCAACUCCUACUCGGCCCACCACUGCGCAGGCAGCGAGACGAAAUAGCGAAGCUAUUUCGCACGCUAACAAGCACGGCCAGCGCUGCAACAGCGCGCCAUAAGGCGCAGCUUUGCUGCGACUGACGGCGCGCGGAGUUACGGGGCCUUAGCUCAGCUGGGAGAGCGGUUGCUUUGCAAGCAUCAGGUCAUCGGUUCGAUCCCGAUAGGCUCCACCACUCUUCCUGAAGCCAACCUAGAGAUGAAGACACGAGUUCCGCGUAAGCGGAUACGAGGUGCAAGCGCACCUCAUCUUUGACAUUGUGAAUGGGUUUUUAAAAUCGAUGCCGUGAAGGUGUCGGCUUUGAAAGUGAGGCGAGGCCGCAAGGCCAAGUCGAACAGACAAGCUGGCAAUUCACAAUAUCUGGCUGAGUAUUUAAUGACCACACCGAUAAGCUACCCAAUGCUGCUCUGCCGAGUCGGCUUUGUCGUAAGACAAGCCCAGCGUUGAUGGUGGUGGUGUGGGCUCUCAAGCGUGAGGUA